rnacentral:rRNA from 1 species
ACAGAGGUCUCAAGCGUUGUUCGGAUUCAUUGGGCGUAAAGGGUGCGUAGGUGGCGCCGUUAGUCAGGUGUGAAAUCUCGGGGCUUAACUCCGAAACUGCAUUUGAUACUGCGGUGCUUGAGGACUGGAGAGGAGACUGGAAUUCAUGGUGUAGCAGUGAAAUGCGUAGAGAUCAUGAGGAAGACCAGUGGCGAAGGCGGGUCUCUGGACAGUUCCUGACACUGAGGCACGAAGGCCAGGGGAGCAAACGGGAUUAGAUACCCCGGUAGUCCUGGCAGUAAACGGUGCACGUUUGGUGUGGGGGGAUUCGACCCCUUCUGCGCCGGAGCUAACGCGUUAAACGUGCCGCCUGGGGAGUACGGUCGCAAGAUUA